rnacentral:rRNA from 1 species
UAGAGGAAGUAAAAGUCGUAACAAGGUUUCCGUAGGUGAACCUGCGGAAGGAUCAUUAACGAGUAACUGAACAGGUUGUAGCUGGCCUCUCGGGGCAUGUGCACGCCUGGCUCAUCCACUCUUCAACCACUGUGCACUUAUUGUAGGUCGGUUCAGAAGGGCGAGUGUAACAGCUCGCUCGGAAGGCCUUCCUAUGUUUUAUUACAAACGCUUCAGUUUAAGAAUGUAAACCUGCGUAUAACGCAUCUAUAUACAACUUUCAGCAACGGAUCUCUUGGCUCUCGCAUCGAUGAAGAACGCAGCGAAAUGCGAUAAGUAAUGUGAAUUGCAGAAUUCAGUGAAUCAUCGAAUCUUUGAACGCACCUUGCGCUCCCUGGUAUUCCGGGGAGCAUGCCUGUUUGAGUGUCAUGGUAUUCUCAUCCUUCAUAACUUUUGUUAUCGAAGGCAUGGACUUGGAGGUCGUGCUGGUUCCUCGUUGAAUCGGCUCCUCUUAAAUGCAUUAGCGUGAGUGUAACGGAUCGCUUCGGUGUGAUAAUUAUCUGCGCCGUGGUCGUGAAGUAACAUAAGCUUGCGCUUCUAACCGUCCUUAAGCUGGACAACUUACUUUGACAUCUGACCUCAAAUCAGGUAGGACUACCCGCUGAACUUAAGCAUAUCAAUAAGCCGGAGGA